rnacentral:lncRNA from 1 species
CACAAUCCUUUAGACAGUUUCUGAAUAUGCUGGCUGCUGCAUUGCCUUUCACUAGAACUGUAUCAAUCAGUUCCCUUGCUUGCAAUGGUGUCUGAGUCUUUUGCUUAAUGACAUCAUGCUCAAGUUCUGUUAUCACUUUAGCUGAAAGUAAACUCCCAAGGAUUGGAAGUACUGAGGUUAAACGCUGGAAUAAAGCCAUCCGAUUCUUCCGGAUUAAGGACAAAUCAUCUGAUGCCACUUCCUCAAACUGUCUCUCUUUCUCUUCCUCCCUCUUCUCAUCUUCAGCGGUGAGCAGAUCAGACACAAGAUCAUUAACAGUCUUGUAGUUUUCUUCAGUGGCUAGAAUUUUACUUUGCACUGUUUGCUUUAUUAGACGCCUACUGAAUCCCAUCUCCAAGGCAGCUUUAACUACAGGAGUGUUCAUCAUGAUUGCAUCUUCUGAAGGACUCUCUCCAGGCUCGAAAUGAAUAAUUGGAUCCAUGUUUUCAUCUACGGGUGUAUCAGAAGUUGACAGGAGCUGUUCAAGAAGAUGAGGAAACCUGGCCUGAACUUGACUUACAAACUCUCCUCCUUUCACACGAAGCAGAUACUCACACCUCGGAAACCACUUUGCAUGCUCAAUCCAUGGAUCAUCUCCAGAUUCCCAGCACCUUAGCCCACCAUCACAGCAAAAACACUUGACAUCAUCGUUGCGGCCUACAUAGUAAAAACCAGCAUCUGCAAGCUGUUCAGGCUGAACUGGAAUCCGAGUUGGCCAGUUAAUGAAUGUUUUAACACGGGCUUCAUGGGUUUGCAUGGUCACAUUGGAAACAUUGAAACUUGGUUGGUCUCGCAUGAGGUUUUCCACAAAAGGGCAGUUAGGAAAGUGCCUCCGAUGCUCUGACAUGGCAUUAUCU